rnacentral:rRNA from 1 species
CACCGCGGUUAUACGAGGGACCCAAGUCGAUAGUCAACGGCGUAAAGAGUGGUUAGGAGAAGUCCAUUACUAAAGCCGAACGCCCUCAAGGCUGUUAUACGCAUCCGAAGGUGAGAAGCCCGUCCACGAAAGUGGCUUUAUGACCCUGAACCCACGAAAGCUAAGAAACAAACUGGGAUUAGAUACCCCACUAUGCUUAGUCCUAAACAUUGACAACAACACACGCCUGUUGUCCGCCUGGGGACUACGAGCACCAGCUUAAAACCCAAAGGACUUGGCGGUGCUUUAGAUCCACCUAGAGGAGCCUGUUCUAGAACCGAUACCCCCCGUUCAACCUCACCCUUCUUUGUUCCCCCCGCCUAUAUACCGCCGUCGUCAGCUUACCCUGUGAAGGAUUCAUAGUAAGCAAAAUUGGCACAGCCCCAAACGCCAGGUCGAGGUGUAGCGUAUGGAAGGGGAAGAAAUGGGCUACAUUCUCUAACCUCAGAGAAAACAAAUGAUGCACUGAAACACACAUCUGAAGGAGGAUUUAGCAGUAAGCAGGAAAUAGAGUGUCCUGCUGAAAUUGGCCCUGAAGCGCGCACACACCGCCCGUCACUCUCCCCCGACUAGACCGAGCUAGUUAAAUUACACCAUCACCCUAGGACUGUGGGGAGGCAAGUCGUANAUGGUAAGUG